UACGUAGGGAGCAAGCGUUGUCCGGAAUCAUUGGGCGUAAAGCGCGCGUAGGUGGCCUCAUAAGUCCGUUGUGAAAGUCAAAGGCUCAACCUUUGAAAGCCGAUGGAUACUGUGAGACUAGAGUACGGAAGAGGCGAGUGGAAUUCCUGGUGUAGCGGUGGAAUGCGCAGAUAUCAGGAGGAACACCAAUGGCGAAGGCAGCUCGCUGGGACGUGACUGACGCUGAGACGCGAAAGCGUGGGGAGCAAACAGG
rnacentral:rRNA from 1 species